CCCCCUCCCCGCCACCCCCGGCCUCCUUUCCAGGCAAGGUCACCCCGCCGCACAUCUUCACCUUCCCACCCCACGCCGAGGAGAUGUCCCUGGCCGAGGUCACCCUCACCUGCCUGGUGAGGGGCUUCCAACCCGAGCACGUGGAGGUCCAGUGGCUGAGGAACCACAACAGCGUCCCCGCCACCGAGUUCGUCACCACCCCACCGCUCAAGGAGGGCAACGGGGACGGGACCUUCUUCCUCUACAGCAAGAUGACCGUCCCCAAGGCCAGCUGGCAGGGUGGCGUGUCCUACUCCUGCAUGGUGGUCCACGAAGGCUUGCCCAUGAGGUUCACCCAGCGGCCUCUCCAGAAGACCCCCGGUAAAUAGGUUUUUCACCCCAAAAUCCCACCCCCCCCCACCUUUUUUUUAUUGUAAAUAACUUCCUGUGGCCCGAAGUUCUCCUGGUCUUCUAAUAAAGCCGACCGGCCUCGUCUCGCA